rnacentral:rRNA from 1 species
UAGGGAAUCUUGCGCAAUGGGCGAAAGCCUGACGCAGCGACGCCGCGUGCGGGAAGAAGGCCUUCGGGUUGUAAACCGCUUUCAGGAGGGACGAAGCCACUCGGGUUAAUAGCCCAGAGGGUGACGGUACCUCCAGAAGAAGCCCCGGCUAACUACGUGCCAGCAGCCGCGGUAAUACGUAGGGGGCGAGCGUUGUCCGGAUUUAUUGGGCGUAAACAGCGUGUAGGCGGCCAGGUAGGUCCGUUGUGAAAACUCGAGGCUCAACCUCGAGACGUCGAUGGAAACCAUCUGGCUAGAGUCCGGAAGAGGAGAGUGGAAUUCCUGGUGUAGCGGUGAAAUGCGCAGAUAUCAGGAAGAACACCUAUGGCGAAGGCAGCUCUCUGGGACGGUACUGACGCUGAGACGCGAAAGCGUGGGGAGCGAACAGG